GCGCCGAUGGUUUAGUGGUAAAAUUCUCCGUUGCCACCCAGCAACGUCGGGGAGCCGGGGGACGUCGGGGAGCCGGGGGUUCGAUUCCCCCCUCGGCGCA
rnacentral:tRNA from 2 species